UAACGAACAGACUCUAUCCUACUAAGCGGCGAGAGGCUAUUAGACGGCUGGAUCUUGACUCGAAGCGAGUGUUUACGGAUUUGAGUGUGUUUCGCGAGUGUGGGUACAGCUUGCGGAGCGGAUGUGUGUGUACGCGCGCUCUCACGGGUGUGCUACGUGCGUGUCUCGCCCUGCUUCUUCCUUACUCGCGUGUGCGCAUCUUUUCCAGCUCGCAAGUCCGCCGUGGCUGCGCGUGAGUUCGGGUUACGCUUGCGUGUGUGUUGUGUGCGAAAGCGCGCUCAUACUCUCUCGCUACUCGCUCUUGCGCGUAGACAAACGUUGUUUCUUCUUAGAGGUAUUGGCGACUCUACGCAAGUCGUACGAGAGAGAGAGCAAUAACAGGUCUGUGAUGCCCUUAGAUGCCCUGGGCCGCACGCGAGCUACAAUGCCGGGUACAGCGGGUAUAACUUCCUUCUCCGAGAGGAGCGGGUAACCCUCUUGAAAGCCCUUCCGAUGCGUGUAUAUAUACUUAUACACGCAUCUCGGCUCGCUUGGGCCUGGGGCUUGCAACUAUCUCCCACAAACGAGGAAUGCCUUGUAUUGACAGGUCACUGAGCUUGUAGCGACUCAGUCCCUGCCCUUUGUACACACCGCCCGUCGCUACUACCGAUUGAGUGUAUCAGUGAGAUUCUUGGACUGGCGAACCAUUUCCCUUAUCUCUCCCUUCGCGGGUUUGUGUUGGGGAGACGGCGAACGACGGGAAGAGACUCGAACUGAUGCACUUAGAGGAAGUAAAA
rnacentral:rRNA from 1 species